rnacentral:rRNA from 1 species
ACGGGUGAGUAACACGUGGGUAACCUGCCUGUAAGACUGGGAUAACUCCGGGAAACCGGGGCUAAUACCGGAUGCUUGAUUGAACCGCAUGGUUCAAUUAUAAAAGGUGGCUUUUAGCUACCACUUACAGAUGGACCCGCGGCGCAUUAGCUAGUUGGUGAGGUAACGGCUCACCAAGGCAACGAUGCGUAGCCGACCUGAGAGGGUGAUCGGCCACACUGGGACUGAGACACGGCCCAGACUCCUACGGGAGGCAGCAGUAGGGAAUCUUCCGCAAUGGACGAAAGUCUGACGGAGCAACGCCGCGUGAGUGAUGAAGGUUUUCGGAUCGUAAAACUCUGUUGUUAGGGAAGAACAAGUACCGUUCGAAUAGGGCGGUACCUUGACGGUACCUAACCAGAAAGCCACGGCUAACUACGUGCCAGCAGCCGCGGUAAUACGUAGGUGGCAAGCGUUGUCCGGAAUUAUUGGGCGUAAAGCGCGCGCAGGCGGUUUCUUAAGUCUGAUGUGAAAGCCCCCGGCUCAACCGGGGAGGGUCAUUGGAAACUGGGGAACUUGAGUGCAGAAGAGGAGAGUGGAAUUCCACGUGUAGCGGUGAAAUGCGUAGAGAUGUGGAGGAACACCAGUGGCGAAGGCGACUC